rnacentral:lncRNA from 1 species
ACUUUGUGGAAGCUUUGGAGUUGUAAAAGCUACAGUGACUCUGGAUUCCAAGGUACAGAAAAAACAUGGGUCUAGAAUAACAUGCCAUAUUAUCUUCAGAUGUGUAGUAAUACAUUUUGUGGUUAUGAAACCAAUAUUUGUUUAGUUACACAGGAGACUGUCUUUUUACACCUGGUUAUUUCUCAGGUGUUGCAGAAAUAUCUACCUCUUCCAAACUGUAAAUGAAAAUAACUGAAAAAAGGAUGCAGUGCUAAUUACAUUGCUUUAUUUUUACAACUAACAUCUUUCAUGAAGAUACGAAAUUGAUGAGGCAGAGUCUUAUUUUGCUUUCCAAAGACAUUUUGUAGGGAUUUGUCACUAAUGUGAAUCUUAUUUUAUCUACUCUGUUAAGGUUGAGUAAAUACAUAAUGAUCAAUUUAACAGCCUGUGUGUAUUCUUUAAACUUAAUGUGACUUUAAUUGUAUGGUAACAAGUUCAAAUGUAAUUGUAAGUAGCUUAUUUCUCAGGUCUUAAAAUGUAGUUAAUUGUUAUAUUACUUAAAUAAGCAGGCAGGGAGUGGAGGAGACCUCACCACUCUUGAUUGGUUUUCAAAAGUCAUCUUAUUCAGCCAGAGCUCUGUUAGCACUUUCUCUUUGUUUCCUUAAAAGUCAGUGAUUCUAGCAGGUUUUUACAGUGAAACUUCUGGUAAAGCUUUAGAAAAUUGCAAAGACUAUGAAUUUCUCUAGUCCUAGCUAACCUGUAAGGGAUGCUUGCAUAGUGUAUAGAAUCUCAGUGUCUAAUUUUUAUUGAAUUAGUAGUCGAUAAGCAAAAGUUAAGUUCAUCUGAUCCUGUAUACACAGCUAAGCAAGUGUUUUUUUCGUAGUUGAGCAACCUGGGAGAAAACUAGUGUUUGUUUGAGUGCUAAAAGAUAGAAGUGAUGAGAAACAUGAAGGAAAAUGGCAUUAGGAAAACGCCAACUAUCAGUCCCUCUGCUGAAACAACCAAACUUAAAAACGGUUUCCAUCAAAGAACGUUACCUGAAAAGGGAAAAGCGAGGAGACAGCAAAUCCAGAUGCUUGUGUGUGACGGUGUCUGUCUCCAUGGAGGAUAGUUCUGGAGCCAGGAAGCUGGAACAUUAGACCUGAGCUAACAUCUACAGCCAAUCCUCCUGUUUUUGCUGAGGAACAUUGGCCCUGAGCUAACAUCCAUGCCCAUCUUCCUCUAUUUUAUGAGUAGGAUGCCUGCCACUGCAUGACUUGACAAGCAGUGCCUAGGAUCCUGACCAGUGAACCCCAGGCCACAGAACCAGAACGCGCAAACUUAACCACCAUGGCCCUGGGCUGGCCCCAUAAAUAUCUUUUGAGG